GCGGGAGUAGCUCAGUGGUAGAGCAUCAGCCUUCCAAGCUGAGGGCCGCGGGUUCGAUUCCCGUCUCCCGCU
rnacentral:tRNA from 1 species